rfam:Capsicum annuum cultivar Zunla-1 chromosome 5, whole genome shotgun sequence
UGAUGAUGGUGAGGGAAAUUUCUGAGCGUGUUUUUAAAUCACUCCCAAGCUUGGUAGAGAUUCUAUCCUUCUUUUUAUCUAAAACUCAGAAUCUCGCUUCUCAAUUG